UAUUUUUGAGUUUGAUCGUGGCUCAGAUUGAACGCUGGCGGCAGGCCUAACACAUGCAAGUCGAACGGGUAGCACAGAGAGCUUGCUCUCGGGUGACGAGUGGCGGACGGGUGAGUAAUGUCUGGGAAACUGCCCGAUGGAGGGGGAUAACUACUGGAAACGGUAGCUAAUACCGCAUAACGUCGCAAGACCAAAGAGGGGGACCUUCGGGCCUCUUGCCAUCGGAUGUGCCCAGAUGGGAUUAGCUUGUAGGUGAGGUAACGGCUCACCUAGGCGACGAUCCCUAGCUGGUCUGAGAGGAUGACCAGCCACACUGGAACUGAGACACGGUCCAGACUCCUACGGGAGGCAGCAGUGGGGAAUAUUGCACAAUGGGCGCAAGCCUGAUGCAGCCAUGCCGCGUGUAUGAAGAAGGCCUUCGGGUUGUAAAGUACUUUCAGCGGGGAGGAAGGGAGUGAGGUUAAUAACCUCAUUCAUUGACGUUACCCGCAGAAGAAGCACCGGCUAACUCCGUGCCAGCCGCCGCCGUAACACAACAUAU
rnacentral:rRNA from 1 species